CAAGGAUUCCCCCAGUAACUGCGAGUGAAAAGGGAAGAGCCCAGCGCCGAAGCCGCCGCCCGACUCAAAGGGCGGAGGGCAAUGUGGCGUUAAGGAGGAGCCUCCUCGACCAGACGUUUCGUUGAUCGGACCGCGGAAGCCCGAGUCCCCCUGACCGGGGCCACAGCCCAUGGCGGGUGCAAGGCCUCUUCGGCUUCGUUCGACGGUUCGGAGGUUGCUGGCUCCUUCCUCAGAGUCGGGUUGCUUGAAAGUGCAGCUCUAAGCGGGUGGUAAACUCCACCUAAGGCUAAAUACAACCGUGAGACCGAUAGCGAACAAGUACCGUGAGGGAAAGUUGCAAAGAACUUUGAAGAGAGAGUUCAAGAGUACGUGAAACCGCUCGGAGGCAAACGGGUGGGCCCUCGAAGGUCGAACGGGGGGAUUCAGCCUGUCGGCGUCGUCGCUCCUCCGUUCUCAGUCGAAAAGCGGGGGACUCGCUCCCCCGCGAAACGGAUCCCUCGACGGGGACCGGGCUGCGGAGCGCGAGCGCGAGCCGGCUCGUGCACUUCCCCCUCAGUAGGACGCCGCGACCGGUCGGGGAGAAAAAAAAGAGGCGGCCAUGAGGCGAGAAGAAGCCGGAAACGGUGGGGCAGGUGUCCGUCUCCGUCUCCGCAAACCCCUCGACCCCUCGGGGCUGGGGCUGCGGGGCGGUCGGAGUUACAGCCCUUUCUCGACCCGUGCACCGCCACCCGACCGACAAACGGUCACGAUUACGCUGACGCGUGCCCGCGACGGCCUCCCCCUUCCUCCGGGAAGGCGGGAACAAAGGCCGGCGCGCUCGCCCUCGUCCCGGGCAGGCAGGACGCGCGAGUAAGAGUCCCCGACGCCCGGAAACGGGCUGGGGAUCCGACGUACGCCGGUCGAAAAAACCAAAAAGGCGGCCGUCGGCUCCGCGUUUGCCGCUGGCCCUCGGGGAAACGGGAUCUGGCGUGGAGGCAUCGCUGGCGGUCGNNNNNNNNNNNNNNNNNNNNNNNNNNNNNNCUAAACCCGACGGCGAAAUGAAAGUGAAGGUCGUCGAUCCCCCGCUCCCCGGGCAACCGGGGAUCACCGGGGGACGCGGACGGCCGAGGCGAGAUCCUGAAGGCGGUCCCGUUCGGCCCUCUCUCUCUCUCUCUCUCUCUCGUUCGCGGGGGGGAAGUGGGUUAGUAAGGGUCGUCGGGCCGCGACUGAAAACAAAAAAGAGAAACCGGGCACGGAAGGCGCGUUCCUUACCGUAAUGGGGCGGCCCGGGGGCGCAUCGCCGGCCCGUCUCGAUCGCUGCCCUGUUCCGUUUUUAAAUCGGCGCCUCGCUGUGGAAGCGGCUUCCCCUCGGCUUCGCGGCCGAGAAGGGGGCUGCCAGACCCUGGCGCCGGCGGCGGGGAGACCAGUCGACGAGGCGGAGCAAGAGCACACACGUUGGGACCCGAAAGAUGGUGAACUAUGCCCGGGCAGGACGAAGCCAGAGGAAACUCUGGUGGAGGUCCGCAGCGAUUCUGACGUGCAAAUCGAUCGUCGGACCUGGGUAUAGGGGCGAAAGACUAAUCGAACCGUCUAGUAGCUGGUUCCCUCCGAAGUUUCCCUCAGGAUAGCUGGCGCUCAAGGGAAACAGUCUCAUCCGGUAAAGCGAAUGAUUAGAGGCAUUGGGGCCGAAACGGCCUCAACCUAUUCUCAAACUUUCAAUGGGUGAGAUGUCCGGCUUGCUCGAACAAGCGUGCCGCCCCCGCGCGUCGCGGCCUUACCCUCUCGAGGGGGGCCGCGCGCGCGUUCUCGGCGGGGCGUGAAGCACGGACGUAGGAUGCGAGUGCCCAGUGGGCCACUUUUGGUAAGCAGAACUGGCGCUGUGGGAUGAACCAAAAGCCGGGUUACGGCGCCCGAUGCGGACGCUCACCAGACCCCAUGAAAGGUGUUGGUUGCUAUAGACAGCAGGACGGUGGCCAUGGAAGUCGGAAUCCGCUAAGGAGUGUGUAACAACUCACCUGCCGAAGCAACUAGCCCUGAAAAUGGAUGGCGCUCCAGCGUCGAGCCUAACCCCGGCCGUCGGAAGGCAGAACGAGAGCCCCCUCCCCAGCUUCGCGGCUGGGAGGGGCUCGGAGUCGAAGCCCCGACGAGUAGGAGGGUCGCGGUGGCGAGCGUUGAAGGGAACGGGCGCGAGCCUGCCUGGAGCCGCCACCGGUGCAGAUCUUGGUGGUAGUAGCAAAUACUCGAGUGAGAACCUUGAGGACUGAAGUGGAGAAGGGUUCCAUGUGAACAGCAGUUGAACAUGGGUCAGUCGGCCCUAAGGAAUAGGGGAAACCCGUUCCGAAAGAGACCGGAAUAAAUCAAAAUGGCUUUUGAAAAAAGACUUUUGACCGGCAAAGACCGAAAGGGAAUCGGGUUAAUAUUCCCGAACCCGGAUGCGGAGAUCGACCCGCGAGGGUCCGAAGCGGCAACGCGUAACGAACUCGGAGAAUGCCGGCGGGGGCCCCGGGAAGAGUUUUCUUUUCUUUGUAAAGGACGGACUCCCUGGAAUCGGCUCGCCCGGAGAGAGGGAUGUUGUUCCUGUAAAGCACCGCGGCUCUUGCGGUGUCCGGAGCGCUCUCGCCGGCCCUUGAAAAUCCGAGGGAGUGAAUUGAGAUUUCCGCACCGGGCCGUACCCAUAUCCGCAGC
rnacentral:rRNA from 1 species